rnacentral:sRNA from 2 species
CCUCGCCCUACGUCGAGUCCCGCCCGUGGCGGGAGCGGGGGAACCAACCAACCGGGGCGCAUCGCCAGCAUGGCGUAGGGCAACCUCUUCGGCCCGAGCCCGUCAGCUAACCUCGUAGACGUCGAAGGGGAAACCG